AAACUUCUAAAUACAAUUAAUAAGGCAUGUUUGUAUGGGCUUUUCUACUCAUGUAAAGAAUUUGAGCUGUUGAACUGCUGAACUGUACAGAAUCUUCACAUUUAGAUCUUCUAAAUGGACAAGUUAGCAUUAUUUCUGUGAUGCAGCAGUACAAUGCAAGCGUUGUUCUUCUUUAUGUGGUGGGCUUUAUGGAGAGCUUUAGCACAUGAGACUUCAUCUACAUUUAUGAUGACAAAUGUUCACUAAUUUAAAUGACGUCAACAAAUAAUGCUUAUUAGCACCUUAACAAAAAUGUUGAUCAAAUGUUGAUUCAGUGAUGUUUUCGAAAUGCUUUAUUAUUGUCUUACAACAAAUUUAAUAAGCUUUCAUAUAAUUUAAAUUUAAAGACAAAAAAUACCGCUGUAGUGAAUUCACUUUUGUUGUUGUUGAUAUCUAUCAUUUGAUAUAAUUAGUCAUUUCUAGUCUAAACAAUGAUUAUCAAAGCAACUAUAAUAUUAGACUACAGAUAUCUCUGUAUAAUGUAUUCAUCUUUUAUAAUCUAUUCAUCUUGAUUUAACUGUAUAUGUAUCAGUUUCAGUAUUAUUGUUGAGAUUACAAUAGCCUGAUACAAUUGGAUCCCGUUUUAAAUUCAUAUCUACAACUGCCCUCAAUAUCCAGCAGAUGGCGCUCUCUUAUAAUUGAACAUCUCCUAUAAAGCCUGGAUGUCUGCACCUUCAUCAGUGAGAUGUUGGCUUAAUUAAAUCAACAAAAUAAAACUGUUAUUAUUAGUGAUUUUUAGUCCUACUGCUGCUCAACACCUAAUACCUUAAAUGAACAUAAAACUAUGUUAAUUGUAUUAUUGUUUGAACUCAAUAUUGGGUUUGGUGUGACAUAUCUCCCCAGGCGUCUGUCUGUCAAAAAGCCAACACAUAUUCCUCCAUGUGUUAUUUUUUUCAGCUUUACAUUUGCUGUUACACAAUCUAUCUGACUUACACAGGUAGUACAUAUUUAUUCACAUAGCUGACAGCAAAUAUACACAUCUACUGUAGUUUGUCAAGCUCAAUACAUUAGUCAGGCAAAAUGUUGAUAUAUGAUGAUAUUAACUUCUCCGAACUUGCAGAAUUGAGUAUUUCUCAGUAAAUAAAGCUAUUAUUGCUGUUUAGGAAUUUAAAGAUUAACAAAAUGCCACUGAAAUGAUAAUAGUUUGACAGUAGGGUCUACAGUAUUUAGCAGGGUUCACCACAUUCCAUGACAGAUUCCAUGCAUUACUGCCUGAAGGGGCGUUCACACAGACAGCCAUUUAAUUGUUAGAGGUCAUCAACUCACUGUACUGUUGCUAGUGUGCAUUCCUGCCUGACUGCUGUAUCCAGCAGUGAUAUGUGUGCAUUCUCAUUGGGAGUCACUUAAUGUCAUUACUGCACAUUCACAUAAACUCCAACUCUGUUCAACCUGCAUCACUAAAGGUUUUUAAGAAGCCCCUGUUCAUUCAACUUUUCAUUUAUCAAAGAAUCCUGGAAAAAAAAUGUAUAAUGGUUUCCCCUGUUUUCAACAUUAUUAAUGUUUCAGAUGUUUCAAAUCAGCAUUUUAGAAUGAUUUCUGAAGGAGCAUGUGACACUGAAGACUGGAGUAAUGAUGCUGAAAAUUCAGCUUUGCCAGCACAGGAAUAAAUGACAUUUUAAAAUAUAUUAAAAUAGAUAUUUCAGAAUAGAUAUUGAUAUUUCAGGAUAUUGCCGUUUUUACUAUAUUUUUGAUCAGAUAAAUGCAGCCUUGGUGAGCAGAAGAGGCUUCUUUAAAAACAUUAAAAAUCUUCCCAAUCCCAAACUUUUGAAUGAUAGUGCAUACUUGAAUAGGGAAAAACGCACAAAUGAUACUGUAACUAGACCAGCAUUAAUACAUAUGUUUUUAUAAAUAUCAUAACUCCAUUGAGAUUAUGUUUUCCAAUGCAAAAUCCUCAUCUAGUUGCUAUGUUUUAGCAAUCGUGGCCCUCUGGAUCUGUAUCACUUUCUGUCAUCUGUCCUCUCAUCUAGUCUGUGUAAAAAAGAAAGAAAGAAAGAAAUUGAAGGCAAAUCUCUCCUUAGUCUCACGGCUCCAGUGUUUCAGUUUCCAUGGAAACACAUUAACCCCUAACCUUGGCAUGUUAGGUGGCUAUGAAUGUGAGCACUAAGUGACUGCUCCUCCCACGCCAUGCCUGCUUUUUUUUUUUAUUCUCAAUGCCAUUCAAAUACACUUUUACCCUCUGUGUUUGCUUUCUUGUCUCCGUCAACAGAUUGUUGGGAACCAUAUGACUAAUCGACUGGCACUAAAUGUAAAAUCUUGUAUAUAAUCACACAAGUUCAGCUGACUUUCGACAUUCCAGAUAUUGCAGUUGCUUCUCAACAGGCUGUCCUUCAGUUUUUUGCUUCACAAAACAAUUGAUGGACUGGAGUCGUUUGGAUUAUUGUGAUGUUUUAUCAGCUGUUUGGACUCUCAUUCUGACGGCACCCAUUCACUGCAGAGGAUCCACUGAACAGACCUGCGACCCACCAGUUGGAGACCCCUGCUCUAUUGUCCUAAAACUUUGCGGCCUUCCUCUGAGUGCACACUUUUGUGGCGUAAUGGCGUUUUGACUGUCGGGUAGAAGUCUGCUGUGGAGCUUGCCUCAGUGCGGGUUCGACAGAAGUGUGCAUUACAGCUGCAAAGGGAGUGCUCACGAGCACCGCUUUGAAAGCUAAAAUGACAAACAACUGUCGUAAGUCAAAAUCAUUCAACAAACACGGUGAGUCAUGGCUUCUUCUUUUGUUAUUGUCACUUGCACUGCUUGCCAAAAAUUUAGUGUAACUUUCCAUCUGCUGGCCACAUGUUUAGUGCAACUUUUUCCAUCUUUAGAAUAUAUCUAAAUUACGAACUAUGCAUUCAAUGUCAGAUUUUUAUUCCUCGCCAGUGGGAGAUCACUAAAAAUAACAUUAAAGAGGUGUCUGCAUAACUGCGGAAACUUGGGGUUCUGAGGGUGCUGCAGCACCUCCUGCCAACAGCUGAUUCAGCACUUUUGAAACAGUUGCAACUUAAGUCUUAAAGAAGAUUAAGGAAAACAGUCCGACACCAUGACCUCAAGAAAGCAGCCCGGAAAAUGGAGCACAGCUGGAAGAAAACAAAACUAGAGGUUUCACACUGCAUAGAGGGAAAGUACCUUAAAAAUGGCUAUCUGCUUACUUAACAAACACAAUCUCAGGUAUAUAUUCAGUACAGUGGCUAAAUUAAAGAAAAAUAAAGCAUCAACAGGUGCUGACAUUUCAAAGCAUCACUGCAGUAAUGACUUUAUGAACUUCUUUACUUCCAAGAUUGAUACUAUUAGAGAUAAAAGUAUAACCAUGCAGUCAUCAUAUACAGUAUUGCAUCAGAUUGCGCACUAUAGAUCCCCUGAGGCACAAUUCUGCUCAUUCCCUGCUAUAGGAUACAAAGAAUUGUAUAAACUUGUUAAAUCAUCUUAACCAAAAACAUGUAUGUUAGACCCUAUACCGUUAAGCUACUAAAAGAUGUGCUUCCAGAAGUCAUAGAUCCUCUUCUGAAUAUUAUUAAUUUGUAAUUGUCAUUAGGUUAUGUCCUAAAAACCUUCAAACUUUAAACUUCAUCAAUUUGUAUAAGUAAAUGAUGAGGUAUCAGAUUGAUCACAAGUGCAUUAUGGAGUACCAAAAGGCUCAGUACUAGGACCGUUGCUUUUCAUGCUUUAUGUGUUAACCUUGGGAGAUAUCAUCGAGAAACAUGGUGUUAGCUUUCACUGUUAUGGUGAUGAUACUCAUCUCUAUAUUUCUUCAUGCCCUGACGAAGCAUACCAAUUUGCAAAACUAAUGGAAUGCAUAGUUGAUAUAAAAAACUGUAUGAAUAGUAAUUUCCUACUGCUAAAUUCUGAAAAAAGAAAAAAAAAGGUGUUAAUUAUCAAACCAAAAACAGUCUGCGUGUAAAAACCUAACACUUUCUAACACUUGAUGGCUGCUCUGUCAGUUCUUCGACAUGAGUUAGAAACCUACUGUAGGUGUGCUAUUUAAUAGCAAUCUUUCCUUUGAAAGCCAUGUUUCUAGCAUUUGUAAAACUGGAUUUUUCCAUCUUUAGAAUAUAUCUAAAUUAUGAACUAUGCUUUCAAUGUCAAAUGCAGAAACGUUAAUUCAUGCAUUCACAACCUCAAGGUUAGUUUAUUGUAAUGCUUUAUUGAGUGGUUGUUCUGCGUGCUUAAUAAACAAACUCCAGCUUGUCCAAAUGCAGCAGCUACAGUAGAGUUCUUACUAAAACCACAAAAUAUGACCAUAUUAGCCCGGUUCUGUCAACUCGGUACUGGCUCCACACACAACCCUUGGAAAGUGCCUAUCAACAUAAACUUGUUGAUUAUACUGUUGAAUAAAAGCAAUAGUGCUUUUGUUAGAAACUGCACUUUAGCUUGUUUACUAAUAGCUUGAAUAUCUUUAGCCUACAGUAUAUUAGCAGAUGUACCAGCGAUGGAAGUUUUGCAAAACCACUGUUCAUUUCAAAGAUAUGACAAGAGAAAGGGCUGCUUAGCAAAUGAGGUCUGAUGACAUUACCAUAGGUACACAUACUCAGCUUUCAGUUUCAGUAUUUUCUUUUGCAUUAAGUACAACUACCCAGCUAACAAUAUUUGGCUCUCAAAACAUUUGGGGAAGGUCAGUUGGUUACAAAUAAAGAACCUACAGAGAACUUUCCCAGUUUACAUUUGUUUCCCCCAAAAAUCCCAAACGGAAAACCAUAUGGGAACAUUACAGAAAUGUUCUGUGUUUGCUAAUAGCUAGCAACUAAUGAACUCACACACACACACACACACACACACACACACACACAGUACACCUUAUAACUGAAAGUAAUUAGCCUGUGACUCAGAAAUAGUGCUUAUUUGCAGAGAAGUGUUUCUGAGAACUGUGGUAUGAUGCAAAUGUUUUUCCAUUUUGGAAACAUGAAACCUUCCUCUCAUGAAUCUUUGGUCUAUUGCCUUUGAAAUGCUCUCUGCUCCUAACCCUACAGAAGUAUAAGGGGGUCAGAGGUCCCGUAUCUGAAUGUCUCUUGAAAGGAUGCCCUCUCAGUUUCAGAAGGACCCAGAGGGAUGCACAAUGCAGUGAAAAGGCCACGGGUCUCCUGACCCUCAGAUACAUUCCACCGCCCACUGCUUAAGAUAUAUGGUCAUGCAGUGAGGUAGAGUUACCACACAAGCUGAAUAAUGUAACAUUCUUCGACGUGUUCCUUUCCUGCAUGCUGUGAUCUUAUUAUCUAUGUUGCUGAAGAAGAACAAUGUAGUUACCACCUAAAAUGUUGUUUUUCAUGGUCAUGAUUUUGUCAGACACUUAUUUCAGCCCAAUUAGCUACUGCUAAACAUGAACAUACUGUAUGUGCGUAGUGGAAGUGACCUCGGUGGUGCUAUUUGUUAACUUUUAUGCCUGACAAAUAAAGGACCAAUUUUCAUCUCCUUUGCACACUUAGUUGACUCUAUGGGCCGGAUACAGCCAUUUCCUACAGCUGUGUCCGUCAUGCCCUGUCCCUCUCAAAGGCAUCAGAAAGCUAGGUGCUAAAAGCAAUAAAUUAGGGGGGCAAAAAAAGGGGGGCAAAAUAAGAAUCUACAUGAAAACACAUGCUAGACUAACAAUAUUCCCGUUUGUUGUUCCAUCUAGCUUAACAGUUAUCCAAGUAAACAAUGCAGAUGUGUGAGUUCCCAGCAUGCAUUGUAGCAUAAAUUGAUAAUCUGGUUGUUUGCUGAUGUUUUUGUCGUCAUUCCUAGUUAUUUGUUGCAUAGUGAUGUUAAGAGCUCAUUCCGUGUUUGUGCUUGUCACCAUGAUUGACGUUUGUGUUAAGCACUGAGCACUGUUUGUGCUUGUGUUGAACUAUUGCUUUUAAUAUCUUUGCAGUUAAACAGUGGAAAUUAUACAGUUGCUGUCAGUGGGAAAAUUCUAAAAGAAUUUGGACUUUUUGAUCUGAAACAUCUGCAAAUUAAUUUGCAACCUGUUGAGGAUCAUCUUACACAAUGUAGUUAAUGAGUUAAGCAUUAACUAUCUGCUAACUAACAACAGUAUUUUAACUUAUUUUCACCAAGGCUGCAUAUAUUUGAUCGGAAAUACAGUAAAAACACUAAUAUUUUGAAAAAUUAUUACCAUUAUUACCAUAACUAUUUUCUUUAUCUUAAUACAUUUUAAAAUGUAAUUUAUUUCUGUGAUGGCAAAGCUGAAUUUUCAGCAGUAAUUACUCCAGUCUUUAGUGUCACAUGAUUCUUUAGUAAUCAUUCUAAUAUGCAUAUUUGCUGUUCAAGAAACAUUCAUUAUUAUUUUCAAUAUUGAAACAGUUGUGCUGCUUAAUACUUGUAGUGUACUUUUACUAAGACCUCUGUUACCUGGGAAUUAAACCUAUAACCAACUGGCAUUGCUAGUGCCAUGCUCUGUUUAAACUACAGGAAUCCAAAAACGUUAUCAGAUUGCUUUGUUUUUUAAACGAACUAUUUCUCAACAACUUUUCUUAUUUUACUGUGCAAUCCCAUACCUAAUGACCCUGACUAAAUCAUUCCAGCUGUGAAAGCAUGUAAGUAAGCCCUGAUGAUGACACAGCAUCCAUGUAAGCAGUAUCUUUUACUUAAGAAACUUUAUACCGCUCCUGCAAUUAAGAGCUCUCACAAAGGACAUGUGCAACAUAAUCUUGUUGGUUUUUAUUGAGAACAGUGUAUCACUAAAUUACUGCUGUUGCUUUACCUCUAAAUCUCACUAGAUGUACCAUCUGCCUCAGGAUCAAAACCCUAAACAGUGGGCAAUGAAAAUCAGCUUAGUCAAAAAUCAGACCAGGCACCCUGCCAAGCCUGAUUCACCUCAAUUAAACUGCGGGGACAAGACUGCUAAUUCAGUGCAUAUAACAUUCUCCAUGGAGUUAUACACAAACUGCAGACUUGUUUACAGUCAGGCCAGCUGGACGCCACUGCUAAAUUGUGUUAGAGAUGCAGCCAUUUUUUAUUAAUAAACUAGAGUAGUACUUUAAAAACAGUUACGGAACAGCAUCUAGCAGCAAGGUGGCACAUUAAUCUUUCUUUGGCUUCUGCAGAAAGUGCUACACUACAUGGCCAAAAGUAUGUGGACCCCUCUUUCCGUUACAUGAUGUAUAAAACAAGAGUGUUGCAUAUUAAGCCUUGCCUAUAUUAAGUACAUUUAUACACUACUGUUCAAAAGUAUGGGGGCUGUAAGAUUUUAUUUUAUUUAUUAAAUUGAUAGUAAAGAUAUUUAUAAUGUCACAUGAUUUUUUUUUUUUUUUUUGUCAAAUAAACGCUGUUCCUUUGAACUUUCUAAAACAAUAUAUCAGUUUCUACAAACAUAUUAUGCGGCACAAUGGUUUUCAAAAUUGAUAAAAAUAAGAAAUUUUCCUUCCCAAAUCAGCAAUGAUUUGAGAAUUAUGUGACACUGAGACUGGAGUAUUACACUUUAAGAUAAAUUAAAAAAGAAAACAAUUCUUUUAAGUUGUAUUAAUAUUUCACAAUAUUACAUAGUAUUUUUUAUCAAAUAAAUGCAGCCUUGGAGAAAGACUUCUUUCAAAAACAUUAAAAAUAAAACUUUUGAAUGUUUGAAAUUUUUGAAAGUGCUUAUACUUAAAGUAUGACACAUUCAUUGCCUUAAAACCACCAUUAUUAAUGUAUAUAUUCAUAUGCUUAUACAUUACAUUUCAAUUUUACAAUACAUUUUAAAGUAGCAGAAAUAAUGAAAAUUUACUUAAAUUCUUAACUUUAUGUUUCGUUGAAGCUAACAUAAUAUGGUAUUUUUGUUUAGCAGGCAUUUUCAUUCUAAAUAGAAAUGGGACAGAAUCAGUUGAGGACCCUGGUUUGCUGAUACUGAUAUGGAAGAACUUGACCAGUCAACCUGAACCCCAUACCACACUUCUUGGAUGUAUUGAAAUGCAGACUGUCAGCCAGACCCUGUCGCCUGUCAUCAGAGCCUGACCUCAAUGAAACUCUUGUGUCUUGUCUCUUGUGAACCGUGAUCCAGCGUUUACUGGAAAGCCUUCACAGAAGAGUUAAUGCUCAUGGUCAACAAGCACAAAUAGUAUGAUGUUCUGGUGUCGAUGUACAUUUGGCUGUCUGUUUGUACAAACUAAUACGGUAGUUUAAUCAAACAAUUUUUUUUUUUUUUUGGGUACCCUUGAGUAUGAACAGGCGAGUUUUCUGGGCCAAGCACUUCAUCACCCUCCCCUUUGUCCCCCAAUUUUCUGUUUUUGGCAGAGCUUGAAGGCUUUUACAUAAUCAAGCCAGACACUGUGAGACUGAUUAAGAUUUUGAUUGCAGGAGAGGAGGACGAGGACAGAGAGCUCACGCAUGCAUAUUCAUCCAGACAUCCAUCUUUUGUUUGCAGACAUUAUAGGGCACAUCACAAAUAAUCAAAGUCUUUUGUAUUCUAACUUUUUACACUGUGUCCUUCCAAAUAAUUCCAAAUACUUUGAAUUUUUUGGUUUCUUGAAACAUGUGUUUCCAAUAAAGUAUCGACUCUAACCUGAAGCUAACUGUCUGCAGACACAUGGUCCUUUUCUUUCAAUGCUUCUUGGUAAAUAAGAGCCAACCAGCUUCAUUAUUGAAUUAAACCCUUUUUGGAAAAGUCAGUAUAGGCAACUGAAUGUUUUUAAUUAUGAAUAAGUUUGUGUGCUUGUGUUUUUUAACAUGUUCACUGGUAUGACUGAGGAUCAUGGGACUGUGGAUUCUAACCUGGUAAGAUCAGACCUG
ensembl:lncRNA